rnacentral:rRNA from 1 species
CGAACGGGUGAGUAAUGCGUGACCAACCUGCCCCAUGCUCCAGAGUAGCUCUUGGAAACGGGUGGUAAUGCUGGAUGCUCCAACUUGACGCAUGUCUUGUUGGGAAAGUGUUUAGUGGCAUGGGAUGGGGUCGCGUCCUAUCAGCUUGUAGGCGGGGUAAUGGCCCACCUAGGCUUCGACGGGUAGCCGGCCUGAGAGGGCGGACGGCCACAUUGGGACUGAGAUACGGCCCAGACUCCUACGGGAGGCAGCAGCU